rnacentral:rRNA from 1 species
ACGGAAGGCAGCAGUGGGGAAUAUUGCACAAUGGGGGAAACCCUGAUGCAGCGACGCCGCGUGAAGGAAGGAGUAUCUCGGUAUGUAAACUUCUAUCAGCAGGGAAGAUAGUGACGGUACCUGACUAAGAAGCCCCGGCUAACUACGUGCCAGCAGCCGCGGUAAUACGUAGGGGGCAAGCGUUAUCCGGAUUUACUGGGUGUAAAGGGAGCGUAGACGGUGUGGCAAGUCUGAUGUGAAAGGCAUGGGCUCAACCUGUGGACUGCAUUGGGAACUGUCAUACUUGAGUGCCGGAGGGGUAAGCGGAAUUCCUAGUGUAGCGGUGAAAUGCGUAGAUAUUAGGAGGAACACCAGUGGCGAAGGCGGCUUACUGGACGGUAACUGACGUUGAGGCUCGAAAGCGUGGGGAGCAAACAGGAUUAGAUACCCUGGUA